rnacentral:lncRNA from 1 species
GUUGUUUCUGUUGUUGGCUAAAGCUUAACAAUGGUGCAAGAGGACCAGCCUUCUAACUACAACUCCCGGCAUCCCCGCAGGCGGGGUGACGCACUUCCGGCAGCUGUCCCGGCUUGGUUGGGGCUUUGCGCCGCUCGGAGGAACCGGGUUGGAGAGCUGUCAGCCUUCUGGGUCAUUCGGGGUCACCUUUGGCCUUGGCCCUGGGGGACGGGGCUGCGGGGUCAGCCUCAGCUGCUCGUAGGCCGCGGAGGAGACAAUGCUGGUGAGUCCAGUGUAGUGAUUCAGGAGAGACCUGAGAGAUGGUGUGAAGAUAAGAGCUUCCGCUUGGAAGAAGGCACAGCUAACCCGGCUUUCUAGUGAGCUGUGGCUUUGGUGGUCUAUCUCAAAGUGUGCUCUCCACAGUCUCCCUUUCACAAGCUAACAAAGCUCUGUGGUGACAGAAAUGAAACAGUUCCAAAGAUUCUGGACUCAUCUGUGUGGCCUUGAAACCAUCUAUCAUGAAACCAUGACAACAGAUAACUGAAGCUGGCAUGGCAAGAAGCUAAUGGUCAGGGCUGCUCUCAGUCUCUCACUGUGGCAAGGAAAGUAACUAAUACAGCUUCGAGUGCUUGCAACGUCAUGACAGCCAUUUGUGUGCUAGGUGGGAGCACAAGAGGACAACUCUUCACUACAGCAUGUGACCACACAUCCUAGAGUCGUUAUAUAGAUAUGUGUACAUGGUCACAGGUGUCUACAGAGGCCAGAGAUGUCAGAUGCCCCCUGGAGCUGGAACUGUGUAAGUGGUUGGGAGCCACCUAAAGUGAACUGAACUUGGGUCCUCUGGAAGAGCAGUACCUACUCUCUGUUGCUGUGGCAUCUCUCCAGCCCUCCUAAACAUUGCAUUUCAAUCACUGAAGAACGUAACAGUAAUGACCAUCACUAUGUCUUGGAUGUGCUUAUACUAAGUACUGCUCUCCCAAUG